rnacentral:lncRNA from 1 species
AUGCAAAUGAAGCAAAUUACUAUGCAAACCUGCAGCUCCUCUCGGAGCCUCAACUUGGGUGGCUUUCCUAACGCUGCUGAGAGGCGGAGCCGGAACUUGUUAGGGCAACUAUCCCUGGACAGUUCUCCUGGCUUUGCUUUCAUCCCGUCCGAUGGCCACCUGGACUGCGCAUGCAAACAUCCUAACCGAAGACUCAGUUCCUUAAACAACCGUGACUUGUUGGACCCCAGUUCUGCCUUUUCUGGCUGUGUCUUCUUAGG